GACGAACGCUGGCGGCGUGCUUAACACAUGCAAGUCGAACGGGAUUUAGUAAACAGAAACCUCGGUGGAAGAUUACUAAUGAGAGUGGCGAACGGGUGAGUAACGCGUGAGCAACCUGCCUAUGACAGUGGGAUAGCCUCGGGAAACCGGGAUUAAUACCGCAUAAAAUCGUAGAAACACAUGUUUUAACGGUCAAAGAUUUAUCGGUCAUAGAUGGGCUCGCGUCUGAUUAGCUAGUUGGUGAGAUAACAGCCCACCAAGGCGACGAUCAGUAGCCGGUCUGAGAGGAUGAACGGCCACAUUGGAACUGAGACACGGGCCAAACUCCUACGGGAGGCAGCAGUGGGGAAUAUUGCACAAUGGGGGAAACCCUGAUGCAGCGACGCCGCGUGAACGAAGAAGGUAUUCGUAUCGUAAAGUUCUGUCCUAUGGGAAGAUAAUGACAGGACCAUAGAAGAAAGCUCCGGCUAAAUACGU
rnacentral:rRNA from 1 species